AGUUUUCGUGUAGAGUUCUACCGAUUGAAUUAGAAUCGGUUUAAAUUGAUUUGGUUCAGUUCCUCACUCGACUGAAGAUUUCAUAGGAUCUUCUUUCCAACAUAAUCGAAUUAAAGAACGUAGUCGAAUCUGGGUGAUCGGGUACAAUGCUGGAUCUGGGUCCGUUCUCAGACGAGAAGUUCGAUGCGAAGCGGUGGGUGAACUCGUCGUGCAAAGCGCGCCACCCUCAGGACUCGCUCGAGAGACACCUCGUGGAUCUGGAAAUGAAGCUCCAGAUCGCCUCCGAGGAGAUCGGAGCGUCUCUCGAAGAGCAGAGCGGAGGCGCCCUCCUCCGUGUCCCUCGCGCCACUCGCGACGUCUUGCGACUGCGUGAUGACGCGGUGUCUCUCCGUAGCUCAGUCGCCGGAAUCCUCCAGAAACUCAAGAAGGCGGAGGGAUCUUCCGCGGAGUGUAUAGCUACACUUGCUAGAGUGGACUGUGUCAAACAGAGAAUGGAGGCUGCCUACAAAACUUUGCAGGAUGCUGCUGGGUUGACUCAGUUAAGCUCGACGGUCGAGGAUGUUUUUGCUAGUGGAGAUCUUCCCCGUGCUGCGGAAACUCUUGCCAGCAUGAGAAAUUGCUUGUCUGCUGUUGGAGAGGUUGCAGAAUUUGCCAAUGUUAGAAAGCAACUAGAAGUGUUGGAGGAUAGGUUGGAGGCAAUGGUGCAGCCACGUCUUACUGAUGCAUUGACUUAUCACAAGGUUGAUGUUGCCCAAGACUUGCGAGGGAUUCUCAUCCGGAUUGGGAGAUUCAAGUCUCUGGAGUUGCAAUAUUCAAAAGUGCGUUUAAAGCCAAUAAAACAACUCUGGGAUGAUUUCGACACUAAGCAAAGAGCUAACAAGCUUGCCAGUGAGAGAAGUGAAACCCAAAGGUUGUCUAGUGGCGAUGAGGUUCAGUUGACAUCAUCAACUCAGACAUCCUUCGCUAGUUGGCUACCAACCUUUUACGACGAGUUGCUACUCUAUCUUGAGCAGGAGUGGAAAUGGUGUAUGGUUGCCUUCCCUGAUGAUUAUAUGACUCUCGUCCCAAAGCUGUUGGUUGAGACCAUGGGAGUACUUGGGGCUAGUUUUGCUUCUCGUCUCAACCUUGCAACAGGAGAUGCUGUUCCUGAAACUAAAACACUCGCCAAAGGUGUGAUGGAUCUAUUAUCCGGAGACUUACCCAAGGGUAUUAACAUACAGACCAAGCAUCUUGAGGCCCUUAUUGACUUGCACAACGUAACUGGGUCCUUUGCAAGAAAUGUUCAGCACCUGUUUGCCGAAUCGGAAGUUAGAGUCUUAAUAGAUACGCUAAAGGCCGUGUACUCACCCUUUGAAUCGUUUAAGCAAAAGUAUGGGAAAAUGGAACGUGCUAUUUUGUCCUCUGAGAUCGCAGUUGUAGAUCUGAGAGGGGCUGUUACACGUGGUGUUGGGGCUCAAGGAAUAGAACUCAGCGAGACAGUGCGUAGGAUGGAAGAGUCUAUCCCCCAAGUUGUUGUUCUUCUUGAAGCUGCGGUUGAGAGGUGUAUUGGCUUCACUGGCGGCUCAGAGGCAGACGAGCUGAUACUUGCACUAGAUGACAUAAUGCUGCAGUACAUCUCCAUGCUUCAGGAAACACUCAAAUCUUUGAGAGCUGUGUUUGGAGUAGAUGGCACAGGCGAUGGAGUUAGCUCAGAGAAAAGGGAGAGCUCUCGCAAGAUGGACCUGUCUUCAAAUGAAGAAUGGUCCAUUGUCCAGGGAGCUCUACAGAUACUUACUGUAUCGGAUUGUCUUACGAGCAGGUCUUCUGUAUUUGAAGCUUCCUUGAGAGCCACUCUAGCUAGACUGAACUCCAGCUUGUCUAUUUCAUUAUUUGGCACAAAUUUGGAUCAGAACCUAUCACAUUUGACAAGUGAACAAACAGCUGGAGAUUUGUCUAUGGCUGGACGAGCUUCCCUGGAGGUAGCAGCUAUUCGAUUGGUUGAUGUUCCGGAGAAGGCUCGCAAACUCCUAAACCUGUUGGAGCAGUCCAAAGAUCCAAGGUUCCAUGCACUGCCUUUGGCAUCUCAGAGAGUCGCCGCAUUUGCCGAUACAGUCAACGAGCUUGUGUAUGACAUCCUCAUAUCAAAAGUCAGGCAACGACUUGGGGAAGUAUCUCGCCUACCAAUUUGGUCUUCAUCUGAGGAACAGAGCGCUUUUCCGUUACCAAGCUUUAGCUCAUAUCCUCAGUCUUAUGUUACAAGCGUUGGAGAAUAUCUCCUCACUUUGCCUCAGCAGCUUGAGCCUCUAGCUGAAGGAAUCUCAACCUAUGGCGAUUCGAACAACGAGGACGCACAGUUCUUUGCAACCGAGUGGAUGUUCAAGGUAGCAGAAGGUGCGACGGCUCUGUAUGUGGAGCAGCUGAGAGGAAUCCAAUACAUUACAGACCGAGGAGCACAACAACUGUCUGUAGAUAUAGAGUACUUGAGCAAUGUGCUUUUGGCUUUGUCCAUGCCGAUUCCGCCUGUGCUGGCAACUUUCCAGACGUGUUUGGCUACACCAAGAGAUGAGCUCAAAGAUGUGAUGAAAUCAGAAGCUGGUAGUGAACUUGAUUUCCCUACGGCCAAUCUUGUCUGUAAGAUGCGUCGUAUCAGUUUCGAUUAGUCUCACAAUUGGAGGUCCAUCCAUACCCAUUAUGGUGGUGUCUACGAGACUAAGUUAACAAAUCGGUUCGGCCGUAUUGAAAGUUUUGAUGCUAUAUAAAAGGAUAAGUUUGGCAGUAGUAAAAAGGUUCAAAUUAAUGUUAUCAAGAUAUAAAUACUUUUUAAUGUAUGGAAUAUUUCUCUUAAUUACUUGUCAAAAAAAAAAAAAAAAAAAAUUACUUUAUUUAAAACUCAAUUCUUCUUUUUAUAUAUUUAAAACAAGUUAUUUUAUGGAAUAAAAUGCAAUGUCUAUCAUGAAACGUUCGUAAAUCUCCAACAGUGUGAUUUAAACGGUUUGUUUGUAAAUAAAAUCUCAUAUGUAUAUAAACAAAAUCUUGAAGUUUACGUUUAUCAAAAUUUCAAUAUAACUAAUUAAACAUUUAACUACCAGGCGUUUUGGCCGCGUUAAUUAUUUUGUGAAUAUUUAUUAAUAUGUGCAUUAUCAAUUUAAACACUACCAUGACAAAAAACAAACUGAGCAUCAUAUUUAUAUAAAAUAGAUACCUUUUUAUUGCGUAAAAUUAAAAAUUCUGAAAUAAAGUUAUAUUAUGGAAAAUCUCUAUUUAAUAUAUUUACUUUUUUUUAAUCAUUUUAUCAUCAUUCAUCAAGAUAUUCAAUCAUGUCCGCAACUUCACUCUGAUUACAUAAUUAUACAAUUAAUCAUGUGAAAACACAUACCUAAUAAAACAAUCCAACUUUCUGUAAUGUAAUUAACAGAAACAUUAAACUGUUGAAACCUUUACAAUGAUCUUCUUU